rnacentral:rRNA from 1 species
ACUUUCAACAACGGAUCUCUUGGCUCUGGCAUCGAUGAAGAACGCAGCGAAAUGCGAUACGUAAUGCGAAUUGCAGAAUUCAGCGAGUCAUCGAAUCUUUGAACGCACAUUGCGCCCGCCAGUAUUCUGGCGGGCAUGCCUGUCCAAGCGUCAUUU